rnacentral:rRNA from 1 species
UACGGAGGAUGCAAGCGUUAUCCGGAUUUAUUGGGUUUAAAGGGUGCGUAGGCGGGAAGAUAAGUCAGUGGUGAAAUCCUGCAGCUUAACUGUAGAAUUGCCGUUGAUACUAUUUUUCUUGAGUGUGGUCAAGGAAGGCGGAAUGUGUAAUGUAGCGGUGAAAUGCUUAGAUAUUACACAGAACACCGAUUGCGAAGGCAGCUUUCUGGGCCGUUACUGACGCUGAUGCACGAAAGCGUGGGGAUCGAACAGGAUUAGAUA